AGCCAUGAGAUAAAACAACAGAGAGGAAGAGGGGGAAGAAGAGAGCCAUGAGGUAAAACAACAGAGAGGAAGAGGGGGAAGAAGAGAGCCAUGAGGUAAAACAACAGAGAGGAAGAGGGGGAAGCAGGGAGCGAAGAAGAGAGCCAUGAUGUACAAACAACAUAGAGGAAGAGGGGGAAGCAGGGAGCGAAGAAGAGAGCCAUGAGGUAAAACAACAGAGAGGAAGAGGGGGAAGCAGGGAGCGAAGAAGAGAGCCAUGA